rnacentral:lncRNA from 1 species
AGCUAAACCUGGGUUUGAACCUUGAGCUGGCAACUCCUCUACCCCCAGUUUCUUACAGCUUCCCAGUACAGCGAGAGCAGAAGUAGUGGUUUUGUGGUGGGUCUAGAGGAUUGCAUCUGCUGAGACCCCCUCCUCCUCCUCUGGCUGGCACAGAGCAACAGAAAGAAGUCUAAAAGUCAAGAGACCACUGGCCCAGGAGAAUCCUGCCAUUGCAGAUAGAAGAGGACACAGCCAUGACCACUGAGGACUGCUGAUCAGCACCAGAUGGAGGCCUCUUAGUGGACGUCAGCAUACAUGUCUAAGUGACCUUCUUCCCUACUGACUUGGCUCUAGGUUGGGUGGUGACACACGCUCCUGCCUUAUGGAAGACUUUGCAUCAGCAUGACAAGAAGUGGUGGCUGAUGACCCAAGAUGCUGAGCAGCUUUACUAAUCAUAACUGCAAACUAAAGGCUGUGUGUUUUCUCUAGAAGUGGAGUGAGAGAUUGCCUUGUCUCCUGCCGCUCCCACAGUAUAAUCAAGGCAUCAAGCUAAAUUAAAGGAAAUGCCAUCUUCUGGUGACAGCAGGGUAUCAAGAUCAAAGACAUUCAAGAUAUCACAGGUGCCAGGAAGUUGAUGCCCCAGGAGCUGUUCUCAGUCUAUUAUGAAUGGGAGUUGGUAGGUCAAUAUCAUCCCAGCCUCCGCCUCACCUUGGCGCAGGGAACAAAAGAAUGAUGGCAUGGAAAGACACAAGGAAACUGACAACACUGUGGAACAGCUGCACUAGCCCUGGGCUGCCCCACGCCAGGCUCCUCGUGUUGUAAAGAAAAUAAAGUCUUACUC